AACUCAGUCAGUGGAUUGUUCGAACAGUUUGGGGAUUUAUCGUCAGUGUUUCAGCUCUGUGCAGCUUCAGCACUUCUUUAUAUUCAGAGUUUAUAUUUGGAAUAUGUUGAAGGACUUUUAAUGGUUGAAGGUACGGGUGAAACAGCUCCACUCUAAAGACGACGGAGGGAGAUUAAAGAGCAGAAAAACAUCAGAGCUGAGUCUGGACAGGACGUCACUCUGACAUGUCGAGCUCCAAACAACAACAUCUUAGUCACAGAGUGGAGCAGAGCUGAUCUGGAGCCAGAUUAUGUCCUUUUGUACUGGGAUGAGCGAUCUCUUCCAGACAACCAGCAUCCAUCCUUUAAGAACCGGGUGGAUCUGCAGGACAGACAGAUGAAGGAUGGAGACGUGUCUGUGAUUCUGAAGAAUGUGACGAUUAAUGACACUGGAACAUACGAGUGUCGCAUCCAGACAAGAAGAAACCGCUUGAAGAGAGCUCUUCUGAAGACUGACCCCAUCAGCAUCAUCAACCUGACUGUUGCUCCUCCUCCAGGUCCAGGAGGAGGAGACACAGAGGAUGGAGGGAAGGAGGUUGGAGUCAGUAGAGAACAUUAUGGUCUGGCAGCUGGUCUGUCAGUUUUUGGUGUGAUUUGUGUUGUGAUGUCUGUUUUUGUCGUCUGUAUAAACUGAAAGAUGAACUCUCCAUCUUCCUCCUACUGAACAACAGCUGGUCUGAAACUGUUCACUUUAAUUUACCUCAUAUUUUAUACAUUAUUUAACUGUUUAAUGAAUUCUCAUCAUUUUGUGAUCUAUCAGGAGUUGAUGAACCAAUGAAAUGGAACUUGAAAUUUGAAGCUUGAAAUGUU